ACAGUCUUCAACAAGCCAACCCUAAGCCUCAACACACAUCAUAUAGCCUAACAUACUUAUUUCCCACCAUUCUAGCACACUAAAUACACAACAAAAUAUUACAACCAAAAAAUUAUCACUAGAAAUCAAACUCAACACUACAGAGCAUAAGUUGACCCAGGGUAAUAAAUUUAAAUACCCGCUAUCGCCAGGUUCCAACAAUGCACCUGCUGCGAUCUAGUUGUCUGCUAGAUUUGAUGGCCGGCGGGCGGGUCGCGUGAAGUGUGUGUGUCAGUGUUUAUCGCCGUAUAUCGUCCGUCAUCCUGGUUUCUCCGCACCUUCAUGACUCCCCAAGGCGUGCAGGACCUUCGCAGUGCCCAAGGUUGUGGAGUGGAUUCUUAUUGGAGGUGAGAAAAGGACAGCAGAGACAGCACAGAGACAGCACGUACUUCUGUGUUAGUGAUGUGGCGUUAGUGAUGUGGCGUUAGUAAUGUGGCGUUAGUAAUGUGGCGGACUCGAUGCCGCUGUGAUGGAAGCCAAGACAAAUAACUUUCGUAACAGUGAUG